rnacentral:ncRNA from 1 species
GAGUUCGAUCCUGGCUCAGGAUAAACACUAGCGGCAUGCUUAACACAUGCAAGUCGGACGGGAAGUGGUGUUUCCAGUGGCGGACAGGUGAGUAACACGUAAGAACCUGCCCUUGGGAGGAGAACAACAGCUGGAAACGGUUGCUAAUACCCCGUAGGCUGAGAAGCAAAAGGAGGAAUCCGCCUUAGGAGGGGCUCGCGUCUGAUUAGCCGGUUGCUGAGGCAAUAGCUUACCAAGGCGAUAAUCAGUAGCUAGUCUGAGAGGAUGAUCAGCCACACUAGGACUGAGACACGGCCCCAGACUCCUAGAGGAGGUGGCAGUGGAGAAUUUUUUGUAAUGGGCGAAAGCCUUACAGAGCAAUGCUGCAUGGAGGUAGAAGGUCUACGGGUCAUGAACUUCUUUUCCUGGAGAAGAAGCAAUGACAAUACCUGGGGAAUAAGCAUCAGCUAACUCUAUGCUAGCAGCCGCGGUAUUACAGAGGAUGCAAGCGUUAUCC